UCUCUGCACUUCCUGGGGAGCGUCUGGCCCAGCUUGGUACCUCGCGUGUUAGCCUGCUGAGAGCUGCAGCUCCAGCCCAGCCGCGGACCGCCGGGAAGUCACCCGCUCUGGGGGCAGCUGAAUCUUGACGUUACCGCCAUUGUUUGGAGAAAUCGAGUGGGUGUGGAACUGCGGCGAGCGAGCCCAAAGUCAUGCUCAGCCGGAAAGUCGCAUACAAUAAUAUGAAGUUGAACUUUCCUCGGCGCAGAAAGGCACAAUAAUAAACCCUGAGAUCCCCGGAAUAUCAGAAGGAAAGUGCUGUUGAUUUGUUCAGCUACUUGGAAACCUCGCCUCUGCUGAGAAAUUAAAGAAGCUAGUGACGGAUUUAUCUUGGAAAUACACAUACUGGAAAUUGAUCUUACCACCAUGAGGGAAGAUGCACCAGCCUUCUGGGUUCUGUCUCAGAAUUGCUAUAUAGGAGGAAAUGGGCACUUUAAAAAGUACAACUUUUGCCUAUGAUAUGCGAUGUAAGAAGAUGGCUAAGAAUGAAAAUAUUUUCUAUCUAGCAAUUACACUUAAAACUAAAGUGAUUCAUAAGACUACAAAACUGGCUUAGGAAGGAAGGUUGGCGGCGGUGAAGAGGGAAGAGGAUGAUCUAGUAAUGGGCUCUUCCAAAUCGCAUCUGGUAGGUUCAUAGCCAUGAGUCAGCCACCAAUCGGGGGCGCUGCCC
rnacentral:lncRNA from 1 species